rnacentral:rRNA from 1 species
AUUCUGGCUCAGGAUGAACGCUGGCGGCGUGCUUAACACAUGCAAGUCGAACGGGAUCCCUGGCAGCUUGCUGUCGGGGUGAGAGUGGCGAACGGGUGAGUAAUGCGUGACCAACCUGCCCUGUGCACCGGAAUAGCUCCUGGAAACGGGUGGUAAUACCGGAUGCUCCGCUCCAUCGCAUGGUGGGGUGGGAAAUGCUUUUGCGGCAUGGGAUGGGGUCGCGUCCUAUCAGCUUGUUGGCGGGGUGAUGGCCCACCAAGGCGUUGACGGGUAGCCGGCCUGAGAGGGUGACCGGCCACAUUGGGACUGAGAUACGGCCCAGACUCCUACGGGAGGCAGCAGUGGGGAAUAUUGCACAAUGGGCGCAAGCCUGAUGCAGCGACGCCGCGUGCGGGAUGGAGGCCUUCGGGUUGUAAACCGCUUUUGUUCAAGGGCAAGGCACGGUUUCGGCCGUGUUGAGUGGAUUGUUCGAAUAAGCACCGGCUAACUACGUGCCAGCAGCCGCGGUAAUACGUAGGGUGCGAGCGUUAUCCGGAUUUAUUGGGCGUAAAGGGCUCGUAGGCGGUUCGUCGCGUCCGGUGUGAAAGUCCAUCGCCUAACGGUGGAUCUGCGCCGGGUACGGGCGGGCUGGAGUGCGGUAGGGGAGACUGGAAUUCCCGGUGUAACGGUGGAAUGUGUAGAUAUCGGGAAGAACACCAAUGGCGAAGGCAGGUCUCUGGGCCGUCACUGACGCUGAGGAGCGAAAGCGUGGGGAGCGAACAGGAUUAGAUACCCUGGUAGUCCACGCCGUAAACGGUGGAUGCUGGAUGUGGGGCCCUUUCCACGGGUCCCGUGUCGGAGCCAACGCGUUAAGCAUCCCGCCUGGGGAGUACGGCCGCAAGGCUAAAACUCAAAGAAAUUGACGGGGGCCCGCACAAGCGGCGGAGCAUGCGGAUUAAUUCGAUGCAACGCGAAGAACCUUACCUGGGCUUGACAUGUGCCGGAUCGCCGUGGAGACACGGUUUCCCUUCGGGGCCGGUUCACAGGUGGUGCAUGGUCGUCGUCAGCUCGUGUCGUGAGAUGUUGGGUUAAGUCCCGCAACGAGCGCAACCCUCGCCGCAUGUUGCCAGCGGGUGAUGCCGGGAACUCAUGUGGGACCGCCGGGGUCAACUCGGAGGAAGGUGGGGAUGACGUCAGAUCAUCAUGCCCCUUACGUCCAGGGCUUCACGCAUGCUACAAUGGCCGGUACAACG